ACUACCUGCAGUAUUGAUGUAUCCUAAUAUUUUCCUAUGCAAAAUUUUCAACAUGGCUGAGGUCAAAGAAAAAUUAGUUUGCUUUCUAUCAUGAAUAUUUACCCAUACCACUAAAUGUUCUUCCACGUGGGGAAAAAAGAGAUUCACCUGAUCAAAAAGCUGGUGCUUUACAACCUGCUUUUCCAGAGCAUAUUUGGGCCAUCCUGUCUUUUGGUUUGACCAACAAUUCAGAAUCAUGGCUUCCAUAAAUGGCUUUGAUAUUGUUUUCUCUCAUCAGUGAGCCUAGGGGACCUUGCUCAUUUGAACAGAUUGGUCUUGGUUUCAGAUGCUCUGGGAAUUUGCAUUUGUGAACCUUCCUUGGCCUGUUCCUAAUGGAAUCUGGGGGCAGAAUGGAAGCCUGGGAUGGCAGGUGUCACUGGCUGACUGUGAUUGGAUUGUCCAGCCUUCGUGAUCCCCCUCUGUGAGCUGUUCCUAUUUGGGACCCAGGGAAAAUCAUUUUAAAAGCUGAAACGUUUUGAAGUAACAAAUGACUGCUUUUUUUCUCUUCUCAUUUCAGGCAUGCUGAGUUUUAGUUCAGAGUGGUUGCACGGGGGCCUCUUCAUCAUGAAUCUGGAAACCCUCUAUCAUUAAGGAUUAGUUCACAGAUUUCCUGAAAGUAAAAGAAAAAUGGAAAAGAAAAUAGGAAGACACCAGCCACCACCUUGCACAGACUCUGGGAUCUAAGACCACACAAUGAAAGGGAGAAAUCAGUGGCUGAAGGAGUCACUUCAUGACUGGGGAGUACAAAUGAUCUAGACCUGCACCGCCUGAUGCUGUAGUUACUACCCACAUGCGGCUAUUUAAGUUGAAAUUAAUUGAAAUUAAAUAAAAUAAAAAAUACAAUUCCUCAGU